CGCUAUUCCUCUCUCCACUUCCCAUUUCCUCUGCAAGUUGGUUCCACACCAGCAUCUCAACCCCACCCCAUCCCCAUCCCACCCCCAUCUCAACCUCAUCCCAUCCCAACCCCAUCCCAUCCCCACCUUAACCCUAUCCCAACCCCAUCCCCAUCUCAACCCCAUCCCAACUUUAUCCCCAUCCCCAUCACAACCUUAUCCCAUCCCCACUUUAACCCAAUCCCAACCCCAUCCCACCCCCAUCUCAUCCUCAUCCCAUCCCAACCCCAUCCCUGCCCCCAUCUCAUCCCCACCUUAACCCCAUCCCAACCCCAACCCCAUUUCAAACCCAUCCCAACUUUAUCCCCAUCCUCAUCUCAACCUCAUCCCAACCCCAACCCCAUCUCAAACCCAUCCCAACUUUAUCCCCAACCCCAUCUCAACCUCAUCCCAACCUCAUCCCAACCCCAUCCCAACCCCAACCCCAUCUCAAACCCAUCCCAACCCCAUCUCAACCUCAUCCCAACCCCAUCCCCAUCUCAACCCCAUCCCAUCCCAACCCCAUCCCAACUUUAUCCCAUCCCCAUCUCAACCUCAUCCCAUCCCCACCUUAACCCCAUCCCAUCCUCAACCCCAUCAUCAUCCCAACUUGAUCCUAUCCCCAUCCCAUCUCAUCUCCAUCCCAAGCCCAUACCAACACCCUCCCAUCACCAUCCCAACUUCAUUCCCAACCCCAUCUCAUCCCCAUCUCAUCCCAACUUCAUCCCCAACACCAUUCCAUCCCUAACCCCAUUCCAUCUCAUCCCCAUCCCAACCCCAUCUCAUCCCAACCCCACCUCAACCCUAUCCCAUCCCAACUUUAUCCCAUCCCCAUCUCAUUCUAACUUCAUUCCCAACCCCAUCCCAUCCCCAUCCCCAUUCCACCUCCAUCCCAACCCCAUCCCAUCCCCAACUCCAUUCCAUCUCCAUCCCAUCCUAUCCCCAUGCACACCACAGAGGUUGCCCUUCCACGUGCUGGCUCCCCCUGGGAUGCAGCCAAACCGAUUGCAUUCAUCUCACAUCGCUUUGCUUCAUUCUUGCCUCACUGCAGCAUCGCUCCUGCUCUUCCUCCAUCAGUCAUCAUUGCAGAUCACACUCCUCCAUCAGCUUCAAGAAGCUGCCAGCUCUGACAGCCUCAUUCUCACCCCACAUCCAGAAGGAUCCAACCCCAAAGCGACCACCUUGGCCUGGCCCAGAGCUGCAGGAGGAACUGAUGCUGGACAACACUGCUGUGUGACGCACUGCCUGCAGCCGGACAUGUCCAAACAUAUCCUUUAUCUGCUGGGAAAUGCUGGUUCAGCCUGGGAACGGAUGCAUUGGGGGGCUUUGCACGGGGGGCUUUGCACACUGCAGGGCUCAGCUGCAGCCCACCAGCUGCAGGCUCACCCAGCUUAG
rnacentral:lncRNA from 1 species